rnacentral:rRNA from 1 species
AGUGGGGAAUCUUGCGCAAUGGGCGAAAGCCUGACGCAGCGACGCCGCGUGAGUGAUGAAGGCCUUCGGGUUGUAAAGCUCUGUGGAGGGGGACGAAUAAGGGUUGGUGAAUAUCCAGCUCGAUGACGGUACCCCUUUAGCAAGCACCGGCUAACUCUGUGCCAGCAGCCGCGGUAAGACAGAGGGUGCAAACGUUGUUCGGAAUUACUGGGCGUAAAGCGCGUGUAGGCUGCUCGGAAAGUCGGAUGUGAAAGCCCUGGGCUCAACCUAGGAAGUGCACUCGAAACUUCCGAGCUGGAGUGCUGGAGAGGAAGGCGGAAUUCUCGGUGUAGAGGUGAAAUUCGUAGAUAUCGAGAGGAACAUCGGUGGCGAAGGCGGCCUUCUGGACAGCAACUGACGCUGAGACGCGAAAGCGUGGGGAGCAAA